AACGAACGCUGGCGGCAUGCCUAACACAUGCAAGUCGAACGAGACCUUCGGGUCUAGUGGCGCACGGGUGCGUAACGCGUGGGAACCUGCCCUUAGGUUCGGAAUAACUCCCCGAAAGGGGUGCUAAUACCGGAUAAUGUCUUCGGACCAAAGAUUUAUCGCCUUUGGAUGGGCCCGCGUUGGAUUAGCUAGUUGGUAGGGUAAAAGCCUACCAAGGCGACGAUCCAUAGCUGGUCUGAGAGGAUGAUCAGCCACACUGGGACUGAGACACGGCCCAGACUCCUACGGGAGGCAGCAGUGGGGAAUAUUGGACAAUGGGCGAAAGCCUGACCCAGCAAUGCCGCGUGAGUGAUGAAGGCCUUAGGGUUGUAAAGCUCUUUACCCGGGAUGAUAAUGACAGUACCGGGAGAAUAAGCUCCGGCUAACUCCGUG
rnacentral:rRNA from 1 species